rnacentral:siRNA from 1 species
GAGGAUCCGAAUGGUGACUGCGUU